rnacentral:rRNA from 1 species
UACAGAGGGUGCAAGCGUUAAUCGGAAUUACUGGGCGUAAAGCGUGCGCAGACGGUCUCGUAAGUCUGUCGUGAAAGCCCCGGGCUCAACCUGGGAAUGGCGAUGGAUACUGGCUCGCUAGAGUGCGGUAGAGGAGAGUGGAAUUCCCGGUGUAGCAGUGAAAUGCGUAGAGAUCGGGAGGAACAUCAGUUGCGAAGGCGGCUCUCUGGACCAGCACUGACACUGAGGCACGAAAGCGUGGGGAGCAAACAGG